GUCCCCGUAGCUCAGCUGGAUAGAGCGUCCCCCUCCUAAGGGGAAGGUCGCACGUUCGAAUCGUGUCGGGGACGCCA
rnacentral:tRNA from 2 species